AAUAAUUUGGCCUAGCAUUC
rnacentral:miRNA from 1 species